AGAGUUUGAUCCUGGCUCAGAUUGAACGCUGGCGGCAUGCCUUACACAUGCAAGUCGAACGGCAGCGCGGGGCAACCUGGCGGCGAGUGGCGAACGGGUGAGUAAUAUAUCGGAACGUACCCUGGAGUGGGGGAUAACGUAGCGAAAGUUACGCUAAUACCGCAUACGAUCUAAGGAUGAAAGCAGGGGACCGCAAGGCCUUGUGCUCCUGGAGCGGCCGAUAUCUGAUUAGCUAGUUGGUGGGGUAAAGGCCUACCAAGGCAUCGAUCAGUAGCUGGUCUGAGAGGACGACCAGCCACACUGGAACUGAGACACGGUCCAGACUCCUACGGGAGGCAGCAGUGGGGAAUUUUGGACAAUGGGCGCAAGCCUGAUCCAGCAAUGCCGCGUGAGUGAAGAAGGCCUUCGGGUUGUAAAGCUCUUUUGUCAGGGAAGAAACGGUGAGGGCUAAUAUCCUUUGCUAUGACGGUACCUGAAGAAUAAGCACCGGCUAACUACGUGCCAGCAGCCGCGGUAAUACGUAGGGUGCAAGCGUUAAUCGGAAUUACUGGGCGUAAAGCGUGCGCAGGCGGUUUUGUAAGUCUGUCGUGAAAUCCCCGGGCUCAACCUGGGAAUUGCGAUGGAGACUGCAAGGCUAGAAUCUGGCAGAGGGGGGUAGAAUUCCACGUGUAGCAGUGAAAUGCGUAGAGAUGUGGAGGAACACCGAUGGCGAAGGCAGCCCCCUGGGUCAAGAUUGACGCUCAUGCACGAAAGCGUGGGGAGCAAACAGGAUUAGAUACCCUGGUAGUCCACGCCCUAAACGAUGUCUACUAGUUGUCGGGUUUUAAUUAACUUGGUAACGCAGCUAACGCGUGAAGUAGACCGCCUGGGGAGUACGGUCGCAAGAUUAAAACUCAAAUGAAUUGACGG
rnacentral:rRNA from 1 species